GAUGAACGCUAGCGGCAGGCUUAAUACAUGCAAGUCGAGGGGCAGCACAGGUAGCAAUACUGGGUGGCGACCGGCAAACGGGUGCGGAACACGUACACAACUUACCUUAGAGUGGGGGAUAGCCCAGGGAAACUUGGAUUAAUACCCCAUAAAACAGGGGGCCCGCAUGGGCAUAUUGUCAAAGGUUUUUAGCUCUAAGAUGAGUCCGCGUAAGAUUAGCAAGUUGGUGAGGUAAUGGCUCACCAAGGCGACGAUCUUUAACUGGUCUGAGAGGAUGAUCAGUCACACUGGAACUGAGACACGGUCCAGACUCCUACGGGAGGCAGCAGUAGGGAAUAUUGGACAAUGGGUGCAAGCCUGAUCCAGCCAUGCCGCGUGCAGGAAGAAGGCUUUCUGAGUUGUAAACUGCUUUUGCCAGGGGAUAAAACGUCCGUGCGCGGAUAAUUGAAGGUACCUGGUGAAUAAGCCACGGCUAACUACGUGCCAGCAGCCGCCGUAA
rnacentral:rRNA from 1 species